rnacentral:rRNA from 1 species
AUUGAACGCUGGCGGCAGGCUUAACACAUGCAGGUCGGGCGGAGCGAGGGUGCUUGCACCUUAGCUUAGCGGCGGACGGGUGAGUAAUGCUUAGGAAUCUGCCUAUUAGUGGGGGACAACAUUCCGAAAGGAAUGCUAAUACCGCAUACGCCCUACGGGGGAAAGCAGGGGAUCUUCGGACCUUGCGCUAAUAGAUGAGCCUAAGUCGGAUUAGCUAGUUGGUGGGGUAAAGGCCUACCAAGGCGACGAUCUGUAGCGGGUCUGAGAGGAUGAUCCGCCACACUGGGACUGAGACACGGCCCAGACUCCUACGGGAGGCAGCAGUGGGGAAUAUUGGACAAUGGGCGGAAGCCUGAUCCAGCCAUGCCGCGUGUGUGAAGAAGGCCUUUUGGUUGUAAAGCACUUUAAGCGAGGAGGAGGCUACUUAGAUUAAUACUCUAGGAUAGUGGACGUUACUCGCAGAAUAAGCACCGGCUAACUCUGUGCCAGCCGCCGCGGUAAAAC